rnacentral:rRNA from 1 species
UACGGGGGGGGCAAGCGUUGUUCGGAAUUACUGGGCGUAAAGGGCUCGUAGGCGGCCAACUAAGUCGGACGUGAAAUCCCCAGGCUCAACCUGGGAACUGCGUCCGAUACUGGAUGGCUUGAAUCCGGGAGAGGGAUGCAGAAUUCCAGGUGUAGCAGUGAAAUGCGUAGAGAUGCGGAGGAACACCGAUGGCGAAGGCAGCCCCCUGGGCUAGCACUGACGCUCAGGCACGAAAGCGUGGGGAGCAAACAGG